CCCCUUCAUCAUCUCCCACAGCACGCCGCCACCCACCACCUCUUCGCGUCCUUCCUCCCACAGCUCGCCGUUGGCCCUCCCUCUCCCUUCCCCUCACCUCGCAGCUCCGGCACCUACCAGAUCCGCCGCAUCCCCCACCCAUCCAUCCCUCUCGUACCACAUUCAUUCCUCUCCGGCGGUCGCCUGAGACCCCUAGCCGUGGCAUCGUGUCCAACACAGCACAUCUCCGGCGGCUCCUCUCUAUCCACACAACGCGUCUCUGGUAGCUCCUCUCUAUCCACACCUCGCCCCCUCGAGCCCACCUUGCCGGCUGCGCGGUGGUGUCAUUGUGCAACGUCUAGCGGCGGGCGACCAACUCCUGGGCCGCCGUCGGUGUCUCGGUGACACCUCUUCUCCACCAAGGAAGUGUUCGAGAGCCCUGCAAUUCAUGAACAGUUUCUGAGUACUUAGCAUUCAAGGAGCAGCUUCUCAAUGAGCAGUCUAUCUCAGGAUGAAAUUUUAGCAUUUGUAGGGUACCAAGUAGAGACAAACAACAAUGUACAAGUAGAGACAACCGCCGCGCUGUGGUAUGUGGCCUUCUAUCAAGUUCUAAUUUAGUUCAGAUUUUUCCCUAGGUCUUGGAGACAUGAUUUUUGUUACUGUAUUAACUUGUUGACAUGUUGUGUUUAGUGUUUUCUCCCCAUGUAUUUCCCAGGUAUUUUUAUUUUUCUGUCCUUAUUGUCUCCUGCAGCCCGGCGAACAUGUAUUCCAGAAAUAAGUUUACUCUGAACCUAAGAAGAAAAUUACAUUGUUACAUUGUGGUGGUCGUACAGUAAGAAUACAGAGGUAUAAACUUGUUAAUUUGUGUACUAAGCACAUAUAUUAGUGAGUCAAUUUAGAGUAGUAGUACUACUAUUAGUUGUGCACCUACUAGUACCAAGGCCACGUGUUUGCUCACUCUCUCUCAACCUGGAGGCACACACUCAGCUAGCACUUGCCAGCACAUUGACACAACGCAUUGUUUGUUGAACUCCCUUGCUUCAUCACUAGGUCGCCCUCCUGAAUAGUGCUCAUGACAAGUGAUCCUAAAUAUUUUUUUCUU